UACGUAGGGUCCGAGCGUUGUCCGGAAUUAUUGGGCGUAAAGGGCUCGUAGGCGGUUUGUUGCGUCGGGAGUGAAAACUUACAGCUUAACUGUGAGCGUGCUUCCGAUACGGGCAGACUUGAGGUAUUCAGGGGAGAACGGAAUUCCUGGUGUAGCGGUGAAAUGCGCAGAUAUCAGGAGGAACACCGGUGGCGAAGGCGGUUCUCUGGGAAUAUCCUGACGCUGAGAGCGACGAAGCGGUAGGGAGCGAACAGG
rnacentral:rRNA from 1 species